GAGGUUUUUUUGAAUUGAUAUUGAUCUUGUUUCGGUAAUUUGUUAUUAGUAUUUUAGUAUAUAUAAAUUUUGUUUUAAAGAUUAGAUUGGUAGUAUAUAGUAUUAUUAUUUAAAUAUAUUUAGAUAUAGAAAUUUUUUAUAGAAUAGACAAAGUUUGUGCCAGCCGUAGCGGUUAUACAAACUAUUCAAAUUAAUUUUUUUGAGUUUAAUUAGAAUGUUAAUUUUUAUUUAAAUUUUAUUUUUUCAGGUGAAAUUGUGAAAAUAAUUUUAUGUAUUAAUUUUUGAAUUGAGAAAUUUUUAUUUAAACUAGGAUUAGAUACCCUAUUAUUUUAAAUGUAAUUAGCCAACUUAAAUUAUUAAUAGUUAUAUUCUUUAAAGUUAAAAGAUUUGGCGGUAUUUUAGUCUGUUCAGAGGAACCUGUUUAGUAAUUGAUGGUCCACGAUUAUUUUUACUUUUUUUAAAAAUUUAUAUAUCGUUGUUUAAAAAAUUUUAUGAGAAUAUUAAUUUAUUUGUUUAUAUUUAACAUGAUUUCAGAUCAAGGUGUAGUUUAUAGAAAAGUUGUAAUGGGUUACAUUAUUUUUAAAUUUGGAUUAUUAUUUUUGAAGUAGUAUAAAAUUGGAUUUGAUAGUAAAUUUUUUUAUUUAGGAUUUUUGAUUUAGCUCUAAAAUAUGUACAUAUCGCCCGUCGCUUUCAUUAUAAAAUGAAAUAAGUCGUAACAAAGUAGGUCUAUUGGAAAAUGGUCCUGGAACG
rnacentral:ncRNA from 1 species